rnacentral:lncRNA from 1 species
CUUUUCUGCUUUCCUCGUUCUCUCGCACUCUUUUCUGCACUUGUCAUCUGUUUACUGUGAGGUGAGAUGGCACAGCCGGUCUCUGCAAUCGGAUUUGAAGGUUUCGAAAAAAGGCUUGAAAUUUGCUUUUUAGAGCCUGGCUUCUUUUCUGACCCUGAAGGAAAGGGCCUCAGGUCUCUGUCCAAGGCUCAAUUGGACGAGAUUCUCAAACCAGCUGAAUGCACUAUAGUUGAUUCGCUUUCAAAUGACGAGGUUGAUUCGUAUGUUCUGUCGGAAUCCAGUCUCUUUGUAUACCCUUACAAAGUUAUCAUCAAAACUUGUGGGACUACUAAACUGCUCCUUUCGAUCCCAGUGAUCCUUGAGCUCGCUGAUGCCCUUUCACUCACUGUAUGUUCUGUGAGGUACACUCGUGGGAGCUUCAUAUGUCCCGGGGCUCAGCCAUUUCCGCAUCGUAACUUCUGUGAGGAGGUAACUGUCCUCGAUGGCCAUUUCAGUAAAUUUGGUUUAGAGAGUGUGGCAUAUGUGAUGGGAAGUCCCAACUCAACUCAGAAAUGGCAUGUUUACUCUGCUGCUGCUGGUAUGAAGAGCCAUUCUGGCCCUGUUUACACGCUGGAAAUGUGCAUGACUGGUUUGGACAGGAAGCGAGCAUCUGUUUUCUACAAAACACACGCCAGUUCAGCUACUGUGAUGACUGAGGAUUCUGGAAUAAGGAAGAUCCUUCCGCAAUCUGAGAUCUGCGAUUUUGAUUUUGACCCUUGUGGUUACUCUAUGAAUGCCAUUGAAGGGAGUGCAAUUUCCACAAUCCAUGUCACCCCAGAAGAUGGUUUCAGCUAUGCAAGUUUUGAGGCUGUGGGUUAUGAUUUUCAAGAUUUAAAUUUGAGGCAGCUGCUUUAUAGGGUUUUGGUUUGCUUUGAACCGACCGAGUUCUCCAUUGCAUUGCAUUCUAAUGUUGAGUGUGACGAACUUGGAGCGAUGUUUUCCCUGGAUGUGAAAGGUUACUCUUGUGGAGGGGGGAACUAUGAAAUGCUCGGGAAGGGUGGAUCGAUUGUCUACCACAGCUUUGCAGCGACUGGAGGCUGCUCAUCUCCCAGGUCAAUCCUGAAAUGUUGUUGGAGUGAGGAUGAGAAGGACGAGGAAGCUGAAG